rnacentral:rRNA from 1 species
AUGUCUGUCUGAGUGUCGGU